GGGUAGCCGGCCUGAGAGGGCGACCGGCCACACUGGGACUGAGACACGGCCCAGACUCCUACGGGAGGCAGCAGUGGGGAAUAUUGCACAAUGGGCGAAAGCCUGAUGCAGCGACGCCGCGUGAGGGAUGACGGCCUUCGGGUUGUAAACCUCUUUCAGCAGGGAAGAAGCGAAAGUGACGGUACCUGCAGAAGAAGCGCCGGCUAACUACGUGCCAGCAGCCGCGGUAAUACGUAGGGCGCGAGCGUUGUCCGGAAUUAUUGGGCGUAAAGAGCUCGUAGGCGGCUUGUCACGUCGGUUGUGAAAGCCCGGGGCUUAACCCCGGGUCUGCAGUCGAUACGGGCAGGCUAGAGUUCGGUAGGGGAGAUCGGAAUUCCUGGUGUAGCGGUGAAAUGCGCAGAUAUCAGGAGGAACACCGGUGGCGAAGGCGGAUCUCUGGGCCGAUACUGACGCUGAGGAGCGAAAGCGUGGGGAGCGAACAGGAUUAGAUACCCUGGUAGUCCACGCCGUAAACGGUGGGCACUAGGUGUGGGCAACAUUCCACGUUGUCCGUGCCGCAGCUAACGCAUUAAGUGCCCCGCCUGGGGNAGUACGG
rnacentral:rRNA from 1 species